GGGGAAUAUUGGACAAUGGGCGCAAGCCUGAUCCAGCAAUACCGCGUGUGUGAAGAAGGCCUGAGGGUUGUAAAGCACUUUCAAUUGGGAGGAAAACGAGUGGGCUAAUACCCUGCUCCUUGACAUUACCUUUAGAAGAAGCACCGGCUAACUCCGUGCCAGCAGCCGCGGUAAUACGGAGGGUGCGAGCGUUAAUCGGAAUUACUGGGCGUAAAGCGUGCGUAGGCGGUUAUUUAAGUCAGAUGUGAAAGCCCCGGGCUUAACCUGGGAACUGCAUUUGAUACUGGGUGACUAGAGUUUAAUAGAGGAGAGUGGAAUUUCAGGUGUAGCGGUGAAAUGCGUAGAGAUCUGAAGGAUCGCCAGUGGCGAAGGCAGCUCUCUGGAUUAAAACUGACGCUGAAGUACGAAAGCAUGGGUAGCGAAC
rnacentral:rRNA from 1 species